rnacentral:rRNA from 1 species
AAAUUUAAAGAAUUUGGCGGUGUUUUAGUCUAGUUAGAGGAACCUGUUUUAUAAACGAUACAACACGCAUUAUCUUACUUGUUUUAGUAAUUCAGCUUGUAUACCGUCAUUAUAAGAUAAUUUAGGAGAGAGUAUUGUUAGAAUCAUAUUAUUGAAUAUAUUAGAUCAAGGUGCAGCUUAUAGGUAAGCAAACAUGGGUUACAAUAAAAUUUAUUUAAUAUGGAUUAGGUAUUUAAAUGUAUUUAUGAAGGAGGAUUAAAUUGUAAGAAAAGAAAUAGUAAGAUUUUCUGAUAGAAGCUCUAAAUUAU